GAUCAAAGGGGCCGGGCCUUCUCCACUUAAUUCCCCGCCCCGCCUGACCCUGGGGGAGUUUCCGCCAGAAGCUGGGCCAAAGCACCCGGAACCAGAGAAAGGGGUCAGGCCAAGGCCGGGCUCCGGAUGCCCCAUACCCUGCCCUUGGGUGUUGGGUCUGAAGCCACGGUGGCUACAACACCGAGCCGAGUUCCUCGAGAUCAUCGGGGUGACUCUUUGCCACCCUCCAGGAACUUACUCUCGAAGGGGGCCUGAGUAGCCACCUAACUUCGCUCGUUCUCACAAGGUAUCCUGGGCCCAAAAUGGAAGAGACUUUCUGCGGAGGCGCCAAAUGAAGGGUCUUUAAGAGGUUCUAGGAUAGCUAAAGAUUGUCCCUGGAGCGUUUGUCCUCAGCAGCGACCCAGCCAUCUCAUGGAGCAGAGUACGCGGCUCCUUGCGCCCACGGCGCUCUGUACUCUGCGGCGGUGCCCAGCCUGGGGCCCCCCGUAGACUCGGGGCGGGAGCAAAAUGUGCAGGAGCUCCUGCCCGGGCCGGAUCCGCUAUCAGCAGCGAGGCGUCAUACACGCGUUGCAGUGACCAAGAGAGCAGCCAGCAAUUUUGCUCCGGUCUAGUGGCAGUGGUCUUUAACAGCAAGCGUCUUCCUUUCUGAAUCCAGAACACCGUUUGACCGCCGAGAUGCCUCGUUCAUGAAAAUACUUGUUUAAAAUGGAAAAGGUAUCAAGGCAAGAAAAAUCCUAGCCAAGCGAAUGGAUGUAGAAGGUCAAGUGCCUAUUAGACUUCAUUCCUGCCUUCAAAGAGCCUGCAAUCUGAAUACAGGCUUUAUAGAAUUAGUCCAGGAAAGUUGAUAAGCAAAUAAAACACAAGGGCAGCAACUACAACCUACAGCAAGAACGAC